GACCCUUUCAUCUAGUGGCCAAGGAUGUUGCGUUUUCAACGCAGACACAGAGGUUCAAAUCCUCUAAGGGUCG
rnacentral:tRNA from 1 species